UAAAAGUUUUAAUUAAGCUUGGGAUUUUAGUGUAUUUUUUUUUACAUGUAUGUUUAAGACUAUGUUUAAAUAACUUUAUUUGCAGUGGUUAGUUUUAUAUAUUUAGUAAUUUAAGAUUUAGAAAUUGAUUAGAAUUUUAAUAAAAUUUGUGCCAGCAAUUGCGGUUAUACAAAUAACGUAGCUAAAAGUUUUUGGUUAAUAAUUAAUUAUUAAAUUAUUUUAAUUGUAGGUUAAAUUUAUUAGGUGAAAUUUUUAAAUUUGACUAUGGUUUUAUUAUUGUUUUUGAGGUUAUGAAAGUUUAGUUUGAAACUAGGAUUAGAUACCCUAUUAUUUAAAUUGUAAAUUUGUUAUACCAGAUUAUUAAUAGAUUAUUUUCUUGAAAAUUAAAGAUUUUGGCGGUAUUUUAGUCUAUUCAGAGGAACCUGUCCUGUAAUUGAUAGUCCACGAUUAACUUUACUUUUUCUUUUAGUUUGUAUAUCGUCGUGAUCGAAUAUUUUAGAAGAAUUUUAAUAUUCAAUAUGUAUUAUUAUAAUUGAUGUCAGAUCAAGGUGCAGUUUAUGGAAAAGAAGAGAUGGGUUACAAUAAAUUUAUUUUUGGUUUAGGUGUAGAAAUAUCAUCUAAUAAAUUGGAUUUGAUUGUAAAAUUUUUUAAUUAGAAAAUUUGAUUUUAGCUCUAAAAUAUGCACAUAUUGCCCGUCGCUCUCGUUUAAAAUGAGAUAAGUCGUAACAUAGUAGAUGUACUGGAAAGUGUAUCUAGAAAGAU
rnacentral:ncRNA from 1 species